rnacentral:rRNA from 1 species
CCUACGGGAGGCAGCAGUGAGGAAUAUUGGUCAAUGGGCGGAAGCCUGAACCAGCCAAGUAGCGUGCAGGAUGACGGCCCUACGGGUUGUAAACUGCUUUUAUGCGGGAAUAACGCGCCUUACGUGUAGGGCUUUUCAUGUACCGUAUGAACAAGGACCGGCUAAUUCCGUGCCAUCCGCCGCGGUAAGACGGUAGGUCCGGUGGUUACCCGGAUUGGUUGGGUUUAAAGGGAGCGUAGGCCGCAUGUCAAGCGUGCUGUGAAAUGUCCGGGCUCAACCCGGGCCUUGCAGCGCUUACUGGCGUGCUUGAGUCCGCGGAAGGCAGGCGGAAUUCGUCGUGUAGCGGUGAAAUGCUUAGAUAUGACGAAGAACCCCGAUUGCGAAGGCAGCUUGCUGCAGCGGAACUGACGCUGAUGCUCGAAAGCGCGGGUAUCGAACAGGAUUAGAUACCCUAGUAGUC